rnacentral:rRNA from 1 species
GACGAACGCUGGCGGCGUGCUUAACACAUGCAAGUCGAACGGAAAGGCCCUGCUUUUGUGGGGUGCUCGAGUGGCGAACGGGUGAGUAACACGUGAGUAACCUGCCCUUGACUUUGGGAUAACUUCAGGAAACUGGGGCUAAUACCGGAUAGGAGCUCCUGCUGCAUGGUGGGGGUUGGAAAGUUUCGGCGGUUGGGGAUGGACUCGCGGCUUAUCAGCUUGUUGGUGGGGUAGUGGCUUACCAAGGCUUUGACGGGUAGCCGGCCUGAGAGGGUGACCGGCCACAUUGGGACUGAGAUACGGCCCAGACUCCUACGGGAGGCAGCAGUGGGGAAUUUUGCACAAUGGGCGGAAGCGUGAUGCAGCAACGCCGCGUGCGGGAUGACGGCCUUCGGGUUGUAAACCGCUUUCGCCUGUGACGAAGCGUGAGUGACGGUAAUGGGUAAAGAAGCACCGGCUAACUACGUG